UACAGAGGGUGCGAGCGUUAAUCGGAAUUACUGGGCGUAAAGCGCGCGUAGGCGGCUUUGCAAGUCGAUUGUGAAAUCCCCAGGCUUAACCUGGGAACUGCAUUCGAGACUGCAUAGCUAGAGUAUGGGAGAGGGAAGUGGAAUUUCAGGUGUAGCGGUGAAAUGCGUAGAUAUCUGAAGGAACAUCAGUGGCGAAAGCGACUUCCUGGACCAAUACUGACGCUCAUGUGCGAAAGCGUGGGGAGCAAACAGG
rnacentral:rRNA from 1 species